rnacentral:rRNA from 1 species
UUCUGGUUGAUCCUGCCGGACCUGACUGCUAUCGGAUUGAUACUAAGCCAUGCGAGUCUUUGUAGUAAUACAUGGCAGACGGCUCAGUAACACGUAGUCAACCUACCCUAUGGACGAGAAUAAUCUCGGGAAACUGAGCAUAAUUCUUGAUAGAUCAUAAUGCCUGGAAUGGUUUAUGGUUAAAAUGAUUCGUCGCCAUAGGAUGGGACUGCGGCCUAUCAGCUUGUUGGUGAGGUAAUGGCCCACCAAGGCGAUUACAGGUACGGGCUCUGAGAGGAGAAGCCCGGAGAUGGGUACUGAGACACGGACCCAGGCCCUAUGGGGCGCAGCAGGCGAGAAAACUUUGCAAUGUGCGAAAGCACGACAAGGUUAAUCCGAGUGAUUUCUGCUAAAGAAAUCUUUUGCCAGUCGUAAAACCGCUGGUGAAUAAGGGGUGGGCAAGUUCUGGUGCCAGCAGCCGCGAUAAU